rnacentral:rRNA from 1 species
UCAGAUUGAACGCUGGCGGCAUGCCUUACACAUGCAAGUCGAACGGCAGCACGGGAGCAAUCCUGGUGGCGAGUGGCGAACGGGUGAGUAACACAUCGGAACGUGCCCAGUCGUGGGGGAUAACUACUCGAAAGAGUAGCUAAUACCGCAUACGACCUGAGGGUGAAAGCGGGGGAUCGCAAGACCUCGCGCGAUUGGAGCGGCCGAUGUCAGAUUAGCUAGUUGGUGGGGUAAAGGCCUACCAAGGCUACGAUCUGUAGUUGGUCUGAGAGGACGACCAGCCACACUGGGACUGAGACACGGCCCAGACUCCUACGGGAGGCAGCAGUGGGGAAUUUUGGACAAUGGGCGCAAGCCUGAUCCAGCAAUGCCGCGUGCAGGAAGAAGGCCUUCGGGUUGUAAACUGCUUUUGUCAGGGAAGAAAUCCUCUGGGUUAAUACCUCGGGGGGAUGACGGUACCUGAAGAAUAAGCACCGGCUAACUAC